AAUACCCUGCCUUGUUCGCUAACAGGCACAAAUCUCUAACCUACUAGAACAUUAGGGAGCUUGAAUGCGGCGCCGAAUGGAACCGAAAGGUCUCUGAAUCGCUGACUAGAGCACCCACCUCGUUAUCGAGGUUUAGAGAUUACCGCCCGUACGACUGUGGUGGGGUAUUU
rnacentral:other from 1 species